GAUGAACGUUGGCGGCGUGCCUAACACAUGCAAGUCGAACGGACCCAAUUCUUCGGAUGAGGGUUAGUGGCAAACGGGUGAGUAACACGUAGGUGACCUGCCCCGAAGUGGGGGAUAACAACUGGAAACGGUUGCUAAUACCGCAUGUGCUCGACGAUUCAUUUCGUCGAGUAAAGUUCCGGCGCUUCGGGAGGGGCCUGCGGUCGAUUAGCUAGUUGGUAGGGUAAUGGCCUACCAAGGCGAUGAUCGAUAGGGGGCGUGAGAGCGCGACCCCCACACUGGACGU
rnacentral:rRNA from 1 species